AACGAACGCUGGCGGCAGGCUUAACACAUGCAAGUCGAGCGCCCCGCAAGGGGAGCGGCAGACGGGUGAGUAACGCGUGGGAAUCUACCCAUCUCUACGGAAUAACGCAUGGAAACGUGUGCUAAUACCGUAUACGUCCUUCGGGAGAAAGAUUUAUCGGAGAUGGAUGAGCCCGCGUUGGAUUAGCUAGUUGGUGGGGUAAAGGCCUACCAAGGCGGCGAUCCAUAGCUGGUCUGAGAGGAUGAUCAGCCACACUGGGACUGAGACACGGCCCAGACUCCUACGGGAGGCAGCAGUGGGGAAUAAUGGACAAUGGGCGCAAGCCUGAUCCAGCCAUGCCGCGUGAGUGAUGAAGGCCCUAGGGUUGUAAAGCUCUUUCACCGGUGAAGAUAAUGACGGUAACCGGAGAAGAGGCCCCGGCUAACUUCGUGCCAGCAGCCGCAGUAACAC
rnacentral:rRNA from 1 species